rnacentral:rRNA from 1 species
UACGUAGGGGGCAAGCGUUGUCCGGAUUUAUUGGGCGUAAAGAGCGUGUAGGCGGCCAUGCAGGUCCGUUGUGAAAACUGGAGGCUUAACCUCCAGACGCCGGUGGAAACCGUGUGGCUAGAGUCCGGAAGAGGAGAGUGGAAUUCCUGGUGUAGCGGUGAAAUGCGCAGAUAUCAGGAAGAACACCCGUGGCGAAGGCGGCUCUCUGGGACGUGACUGACGCUGAGACGCGAAAGCGUGGGGAGCAAACAGG